rnacentral:rRNA from 1 species
AGAGUUUGAUCCUGGCUCAGAUUGAACGCUGGCGGAACGCUUUACACAUGCAAGUCGAACGGUAACGUGGGGAGGAGCUUGCUCCACCCCGACGACGAGUGGCGAACGGGUGAGUAAUACAUCGGAACGUGUCCGCUCGUGGGGGACAACCAGCCGAAAGGUUGGCUAAUACCGCAUGAGUUCUACGGAAGAAAGAGGGGGACCCGCAAGGGCCUCUCGCGAGCGGAGCGGCCGAUGACUGAUUAGCCGGUUGGUGAGGUAACGGCUCACCAAAGCAACGAUCAGUAGCUGGUCUGAGAGGACGACCAGCCACACUGGGACUGAGACACGGCCCAGACUCCUACGGGAGGCAGCAGUGGGGAAUUUUGGACAAUGGGCGCAAGCCUGAUCCAGCUAUUCCGCGUGUGGGAUGAAGGCCCUCGGGUUGUAAACCACUUUUGUAGAGAACGAAAAGACAUCUUCGAAUAAAGGAUGUUGCUGACGGUACUCUAAGAAUAAGCACCGGCUAACUACGUGCCAGCAGCCGCGGUAAUACGUAGGGUGCGAGCGUUAAUCGGAAUUACUGGGCGUAAAGGGUGCGCAGGCGGUUGAGUAAGACAGAUGUGAAAUCCCCGAGCUUAACUCGGGAAUGGCAUAUGUGACUGCUCGACUAGAGUGUGUCAGAGGGAGGUGGAAUUCCACGUGUAGCAGUGAAAUGCGUAGAUAUGUGGAAGAACACCGAUGGCGAAGGCAGCCUCCUGGGACAUAACUGACGCUCAGGCACGAAAGCGUGGGGAGCAAACAGGAUUAGAUACCCUGGUAGUCCACGCCCUAAACGAUGUUAACUAGUUGUUGGGAUGUAACAAUCUCAGUAACGCAGCCAACGCGAGAAGUUAACCGCCUGGGAAGUACGGUCGCAAGACUAAAACUCAAAGGAAUUGACGGGGACCCGCACAAGCGGUGGAU